ACUGAACGCUGGCGGCAUGCUUUACACAUGCAAGUCGAACGGUAACAGGCCGCAAGGUGCUGACGAGUGGCGAACGGGUGAAUAAUGCAUCGGAACGUGCCCAGUCGUGGGGGAUAACUGCUCGAAAGAGCAGCUAAUACCGCAUACGAUCUAUGGAUGAAAGCGGGGGACCGUAAGGCCUCGCGCGAUUGGAGCGGCCGAUGUCAGAUUAGGUAGUUGGUGGGGUAAAGGCUCACCAAGCCAACGAUCUGUAGCUGGUCUGGGAGGACGACCAGCCACACUGGGACUGAGACACGGCCCAGACUCCUACGGGAGGCAGCAGUGGGGAAUUUUGGACAAUGGGGGCAACCCUGAUCCAGCAAUGCCGCGUGCAGGAAGAAGGCCUUCGGGUUGUAAACUGCUUUUGUACGGAACGAAACGGUCUGGGUUAAUACCCUGGGCUAAUGACGGUACCGUAAGAAUAAGCACCGGCUAACUACGUGCCAGCCGCCGCAGUAAUAC
rnacentral:rRNA from 1 species